UUGAGCGGCCGAUAUCAGAUUAGCUAGUUGGUGAGGUAAAAGCUCACCAAGGCGACGAUCUGUAGCGGGUCUGAGAGGAUGAUCCGCCACACUGGAACUGAGACACGGUCCAGACUCCUACGGGAGGCAGCAGUGGGGAAUUUUGGACAAUGGGGGCAACCCUGAUCCAGCCAUGCCGCGUGAGUGAAGAAGGCCUUCGGGUUGUAAAGCUCUUUCAGCCGGGAAGAAAAUGCAUGGGUUAAUACCCUGUGCAGAUGACGGUACCGGAAUAAGAAGCACCGGCUAACUACGUGCCAGCAGCCGCGGUAAUACGUAGGGUGCGAGCGUUAAUCGGAAUUACUGGGCGUAAAGCGUGCGCAGGCGGUUUUGUAAGACAGGCGUGAAAUCCCCGGGCUUAACCUGGGAACU
rnacentral:rRNA from 1 species